GGUGAAAUCCCAGAGCUUAACUCUGGAACUGCCAUUAAAACUUUUCAGCUAGAGUAUGAUAGAGGAAAGCAGAAUUUCUAGUGUAGAGGUGAAAUUCGUAGAUAUUAGAAAGAAUACCAAUUGCGAAGGCAGCUUUCUGGAUCAUUACUGACACUGAGGAACGAAAGCAUGGGUAGCGAAGAGGAUUAGAUACCCUCGUAGUCCAUGCCGUAAACGAUGUGUGUUAGACGUUGGAAAUUUAUUUUCAGUGUCGCAGCGAAAGCGAUAAACACACCGCCUGGGGAGUACGACCGCAAGGUUAAAACUCAAAUGAAUUGACGGGGACCCGCACAAGUAGUGGAGCAUGUGGUUUAAUUCGAAGAUACGCGCAGAACCUUACCAACACUUGACAUGUUCGUCGCGACUCUAAGAGAUUAGAGUUUUCGGUUCGGCCGGACGAAACACAGGUGCUGCAUGGCUGUCGUCAGCUCGUGUCGUGAGAUGUUGGGUUAAGUCCCGCAACGAGCGCAACCCUCACUUUUAGUUGCCAUCAUUUAGUUGGGCACUCUGAAAGAACUGCCAGUGAUAAGCUGGAGGAAGGUGGGGAUGACGUCAAGUCCUCAUGGCCCUUACGUGUUGGGCUACACACGUGCUACAAUGGUAUCUACAAAAGGAAGCAAGACUGCAAGGUCAAGCAAAUCCUUAAAAGAUACCUCAGUUCGGAUUGCACUCUGCAACUCGAGUGCAUGAAGCUGGAAUUACUAGUAAUCGUGGAUCAGCGUGCCACGGUGAAUGCGUUCCCGGGUCUUGUACACACCGCCCGUCACACCAUGGGAGUUGGUUCUACCUUAAGGCAAGGUUUCAAACCCUUGACCACGGUAUAGUCAGCGACUGGGGUGAAGUCGUAACAAGGUAGCCGUAGGGGAACCUGCGGCUG
rnacentral:rRNA from 1 species